rnacentral:rRNA from 1 species
CCUACGGGAUGCAGCAGUGGGGAAUAUUGCACAAUGGGCGCAAGCCUGAUGCAGCCAUGCCGCGUGUGUGAAGAAGGCCUUCGGGUUGUAAAGCACUUUCAGCGGGGAGGAAGGCGAUAAGGUUAAUAACCUUGUCGAUUGACGGUACCCGCAGAAGAAGCACCGGCUAACUCCGUGCCAGCAGCCGCGGUAAUACGGAGGGUGCAAGCCUCAAUCGGAAUUACUGGGCGUAAAGCGCACGCAGGCGGUCUGUCAAGUCGGAUGUGAAAUCCCCGGGCUCAACCUGGGAACUGCAUUCGAAACUGGCAGGCUAGAGGCUUGUAGAGGGGGGUAGAAUUCCAGGUGUAGCGGUGAAAUGCGUAGAGAUCUGGAGGAAUACCGGUGGCGAAGGCGGCCCCCUGGACAAAGACUGACGCUCAGGUGCGAAAGCGUGGGGAGCAAACAGGAUUAGAUACCCGUGUAGUC